UUGGUAUACAUUGAUUUUUGUAUCCCAUAACUUUUCUGAUUUUUUGUUUUAGUUCUAAUAGGAUUUUGUGUGUGUGUGUGUGUGUGUGUAGAGACUUUAGUCUUUCCUAUAUAUAAGAUGAUGCAGUCUGCAAAAAGGGACAAUUUUAUCUCUCCCUUUCCCAUUUGAAUGCCAUUUAUUUAUUUAUUGGCUGAAUUGCUCUGACUGGGACUUCCAGAGCUAUAUUGAAUGGAAGAGAUGAGAAGGGGUAUCUUUUCAUUGUUCCUGAUCUCAGAAACUAAAAGCAUGUUUUUAGAUUAUUUUUUUUUUUUUUACCAUUGAGUGUGAUGUUAACUGUGGGCUUUUCCUAUAUGACCAUUAUUAUGUUGAGGCUAUUUUCUUCUAUUUUUAGUCUGUUGAGGGUUCGUAUUUUGAUGUGGUGCUGAAUUUUGUCAAAUGCUUUUUUUUUUUUAAUCUACGGAGAUGGUCAUUUAUCAUUUAUUUAAUGUUGUAUGUCACAUUAAUUGAUUGGCAUAUGGUAAACCAUCCCCACAUCCCAGGAAAACAUUCUACUUGGUCUUGAUGUACCUUCUUUUUGAUAUGCUGUUGAAUUUGGUCUUCUAGUAUUUGUUCAGAACUUUUGCAUCCGUAUCUAUCAGGGAUAUUGGCCUAUACUUUCCUUUCCUUAUAAUGGCUCUGCCUAGCUUUGUUAUUAGGGUAAUUCUGUCCUCAAAAAUGAAUUUGAAGUGUUCACUUCUCUUCAAAUUAUUGAGGAGUUUGAGAAAUGUUGGCAUUAAUACUUUCUAAGUUUCAUAGAAUUCACCCAUGCAGUCAUCUGGUCCUACACUUUCCCUGUGUUGGGAGGUAUUUGAUUGCUGUUUCCAUCUCUAUAGUAGCUACAAGUCUGUUAAGACUGUUUUUUUAUUUGUUCAUGCUUUAGUACUGAUAAGGUUAUAAUAAUUAUUCUUUUCCUCUAGGUUAUCUGGUUUGUUGGUGUACAAUUAUUUAUAUCAGUCCUAUGAUCCUUUCUGUGAUAUCUGUUGUGAUAUUAUUUCUUUCACUUGUGAUUUUAAGUCUUCUCUUUCUUUUCCAUCUUCGAUCCAGCUAAGUUUAUCAAUUUUAUUGACCUUUAAAAAAACAGCUCUCAGUUUCAUUGAUGAUUUUCUACUGUUUUUCUUUUUUUCUCUUUUUUUUUCUAAUUUUUGCUAAUUUGCUAACUUUGUAAUUUGUCUUUCUUUUUCUAUUUUGUUAGGUGUAAAGUUGAGUUAAGUGAGUUCUUUCUUCUUUUAUAAUGUAAACAUUUAUCACUAUGGACUCCCUCUUAGUGCUUUUUUUUUAACUGCUAUCUAUAUGCUUUUGUUCUUAGCAUUUUUGUUUUCGUUUGUUUUGAGAUAUUUCUUAUUUUUUUUUAAUUUCUGGGACCCAAAUGUUGUUGUAAACUUCCAUGUAUUUUUAAAUUUUUUUAUAUUUCUUCUUGCUUUUAAUUUCAUUCAAUUGUCAUUAGGAAAAAUACUGCUAUAAUUUCAAUCUUUGUAGAUUUAAGACUUUUUUUUUUUUGUAACCUAACAUGUACUUUAUCCUGGAGAAAUAACACAGGUGUGCUUGAGGAGAUUGUGUAUUCUAUUGAUUUUUUUCUUUUUAACUUUUCAAUUAUGUCAGUUAGGUCCAUUUGGUUUAAAAUGUUAUUCAAAACUUCUGUUUUCUUAUUGAUCUGUCUGAAUGUUCUGUUCUUUUUUCUCCCUUCAACAAUUCUUCUUGGUCACAUCUAGUGACUAUGAUCUCCCUAAGCUUCUUUUCAUUGGAGAAAGUCUUUCUCCCAUUAUUCUUUUUUUUUUUUUCUGUCCUUGAGGAAAAUGUUUAUUGGACAUUUUUAUUAUUAUAUUUCAUGUUUUCCUUAAACUUUUCUUUUUUUUAUUGGUUGUUCAAAACAUUAUAAAGCUCUUGACAUAUCAUAUUUCAUACAUUAGAUUCAAGUUGGUUAUGAACUCCCAAUUUUACCCCAAAUACAGAUUGCAGAAUCACAUCAGUUACACAUCCACAUUUUUACAUAAUGCCCUAUUAGUAACUGUUGUAUUCUGCUACCUUUCCUAUCCUCUACUAUCCCCCCUCCCCUCCCCUCCCCUCCCAUCUUCUCUCUCUACCCCAUCCACUGUAAUUCAUUUCUCUCCUUGUUUAUUUUCUCAUUCCCCUCACAACCUCUUAUAUGUAAUUUUGUAUAACAAUGAGGGUCUCCCUCCAUUACCAUGCAAUUUCCCUUUUCUCUCCCUUUCCAUCCCACCUCAUGUAUCUGUUUAAUGUUAAUCUUUUCUUCCUGCUCUUCCUCCCUGCUCUGUUCUUAGUUGCUCUCAUUAUAUCAAAGAAGACAUUUGGUAUUUGUUUUUUAGGGAUUGGCUAGUUCCCUGACUGUCUGANAUUAAGGAAUUUGGAGCCCGACCCUACAAUAUGUAGAUCGGAGCCAACUUUUUCUUCUAUCAGACGCAGAGUCUCUGAUUUGAUAUCUAGCUCCUUGAUCCACUUUGAGUUAACUUUUGUGCAUGGCGAGAGGAGGGGAUUCAGUUUCAUUUUGUUGCAUAUGGAUUUCCAGUUUUCCCAGCACCAUUUGUUGAAGAUGCUAUCCUCCCUCCAUUGCAUGCUUUUAGCUCCUUUAUCAAAUAUAAGAUAGUUGUAGCUUUGUGGAUUAGUCUCUGUGUCCUCUAUUCUGUACCAUUGGUCCACCCUCCUGUUUUGGUACCAGUACCAUGCUGUUUUUGUUACUAUUGCUCUGUAAUAUAGUUUUAAGUCUGGUAUCGCUAUACCGCCUGAUUCGCACUUCCUGCUUAGAAUUGCUUUUGCUAUUCUGGGUCUUUUAUUUUUCCAUAUGAAUUUCAUGAUUGCUUUAUCCAUUUCUACAAGAAAUGCCGUUGGGAUUUUGAUUGGCAUUGCAUUAAACCUAUAGAGAACUUUUGGUAAUAUCGCCAUUUUGAUGAUGUUAGUUCUGCCUAUCCAUGAACAGGGUAUAUUUUUCCAUCUUCUAAGAUCUUCUUCUACUUCUCUUUUUAGGGUUUUGUAGUUUUCAUUGUAAAAAUAUUUCACCUCUUUUGUUAGGUUGAUUCCCAAGUAUUUUAUUUUUUUUUUUUGAGGAUAUUGUGAAUGGAGUGUUUUUCCUCAUUUCCGUUUCAGAAGUUUUGUCGCUGAUAUACAGAAAUUAAAGGCAUAAAAAUAGGAAAGGAAGAACUUAAAUUAUCACUAUUUGCAGAUGACGUGAUUCUAUACCUAGAAGACCCAAAAGGGUCUACAAAAAAACUACUAGAACUAAUAAAUGAAUUCAGCAAAGUGGCAGGAUAUAAAAUCAACACGCAUAAAUCUCCCAUUAUUCUUGUAGGAGAGUUUUUCCAGGUCUAUUCUUCUUCAUUGACAGCUCCCCACCCCGCACCAUCAGUCCUUUGCCCCACUAUCUUAGCCUGCAAACAUGGCACUGAAAAUUUACUGACAGUCUUGUAGAAUUUCUCUUACAUGUGACAAAUUUCUUUUUUCUUGAUGCUGUCAAAAUGAUCUCUUUUGUUGUGGUACUGAACCCAGGAGCAUUUUACCUGAGCUACAUCCCCAGUUCUUUUUAUUUUUAUUACUUUUUAUUUCUAUACAGUCUUGUUAAGUUGCUGAGGCAGGCCUGGAACUUGUGAUCCUCCUGCCUCAGCCUGUUGGGUUGCUGGGAUUACAGGAGUAUGCCACCACCCCUGGUUGCCUUUGACUUGUAAGAAGCUAAACUCAUGAGUUUGUUUUUAUCGGUUUUAUGGAAAUAAGAUGUUGAGUUUGUUUUGAAAUUGUCUACACUGUCUGUUUUCAAACUUAUUUUUGCUUUCAGCUGUCUUCAUCUACCUAUGUUCUUUCUAAAUUUGUAUCUCGAUCUUUCGUAUAGAAUAAAUUGGUCAAUUACUGUUUUUGUUUCUGUUGUUGUUGUCAUUUCUUUUGUGGAAUGGAACUCAUGGCCUCCUGCAUGCUAGGCAUGCACUGAGUUAUACCCAUUGAACUGUUUCUAGUUUUUUGAAAAGAAUGAAAUUAUUUAAAGACCUGUACUUAUCUUUCAGAACAAUUUUGAGCAUAGCUAAUAAAUUUUUCUAUAUAGUAUUCACCCUUUAGUCAUUUUAAAUCAUUCUAUGAUUUUGGUUAUGAUAUUGGUUUUCAUCUGACAACUAUUUAACAGAAUUAUUUUAACUAAGUUUUCAGCUUUUAUUUUUUUGCUACCAUUUUGUAAAUAAUUUCCAGUUUUGUUGCAGAUGUCAGAGAAUAAUACAUAACUUUUGCUUUGGCAAUUGUGAUUUUUAUUUAAUAAAUGACCAAUUUGGUAAAGACUUUAUGAGCAAUAGAAAAGGAAGUAUAAUAUUUUUGUAGGACAUAAUGUUAAAUACAUAGACUAUAGAAAUUUGCAUAAAAAUGAAGAAGAGACAAAAACUUCCCAAAUAAAUAAAAACUGAGGGAGUUCUUUGUCACUAGAUCCAAUUUAUAAGAAAUAAGACAGUAAAGAGACAAAAAUCCAGGCAGAAGAUUAAUAAGGAAGCAGGGGACUUGAAUAAAACUGUAAAGCAUUAAACAUUCCAAGCAACAGCAGCACACACUCAUUCACACACAGAGAGAAUAAUUUAUAGAGACAGUACUAUCUAGAUAACAUUUUAUUUUUUUCAACUAUUCUUCUUUUAUUCUUUUCUUCUCUAUCUCUCCUUCUGUACCAUUUGAUGCUUCAAGAACAAAAGUAAAUGCAAAAAAACUUACCCAUUUUCUUCUUGUUGUAUAAACUACUUUUUGCAUUUAUAAUAUUUCUGUUAUACACUUUUAUGCCCCUGAAGAUGAAUGUCAGUGAUUAUCAUAUCUUAUUACUACUCCAAUAAUGAUACAAAUACCAAAAAUUAUUAACAAUUUUUGAGCAUAUGCCUUGUGACUGGUCUUGAGCUAGAUGAAUUUUAUUUAUUUUCAUAAAACACUUGAAGGGAGGUAUAUUUAUUACUCCCAAUAAGGGAUAUUAAAUAUUGUAUCUUCUUUUAAAAACAUGUAUUAAUUAAACAACGUUUUGCUUCUUUUCUUUGGUACUGCUUCCUUAAUGUUAAUAUUGUGACUCUUGCUUUCUUUUUGUUUCUACUUGCCCUUUAUAUCUCUAUCUUUUAAUAAUUUAUCUUUUUUUAAUUAGCAUGAUGUUAAUAUAUAAUAAGUAUGUUUUGAAAAUGUUUGUGGAAUUAACAGAUCUUUUGAAAUAAGUUUUUAAAAUGCAUUGGAUUUUACUUGUGAUCCAAUGAGAGUUAUUAGAAGAGUUUAACUCAUUUACACUUAUUGUGUUAAUGUUAUGUUUGAUUUAUAUCUGACAUUUAGUGCUUUUGUAUUUUAAAAUUUUUUAAAAUUUUCUUUUGCUCUUAUAGUUGCCAAGUGAACUCAGUUAUUUGAUUAAAGAUACCUACAAAUUGGUUUGAAGAGUGUACCUCUUGUUUUUUAUUCCACUUUUUAUUGACAUCUGACUUUUCCUAUAGCUGAGUGCACCCACAUUUCUGGCAGAAUAAUUGAAGUAUUUAUUAUAGCUGCUGCUAACUAAGGCUUUACAUUCAUAAAUUUACAGCAGCCCGAAGUAAAUUCUGUUCAUGGUUGUGCAUUUCUCAUUUUGUUUAGGAUGUCAUUUGGACUAAUUUAUUAUUUUGAAAGUUAAGCAUAUUUGUUACAUUGCGUAGUCUACAGGUUAUUAGUCUUUUCCUAACCCUGCAACACAGAUUAAAUGAUAUAAAAUAUAUUUAUUGUUACAUACACUGUGAUACAAGUUUGGAGUAGAAAGAGGAGCAAAACUUACCACCUUUUUUCCUUAAAGUAUAAUUGGUAGGGGCACUACAUAUACAUCCAUAAAAAUUAAGUAACUAAAAAGUAUAUAAAUUAUAUCACCCAGAAUCCUAUACAAAUAAAUAUCAAAUGAGCAGUGUAUGCAAAAAGUGCAGAGGUUAGAAACAUUGCCUAUAGUAGAAAUAUUCAGAUGAAUCUUUUUCAGAGGGAGAAGGACUUAUGUGAUCUAAGAUGUGGAGACGGGCAGGUGCAUGGCAUGUUCUUGAGGUGGCAGCCUAAGAUCAUGGUCUCAGCAGGGGCUUCAUGGAAUUCAGAACGUUUAAUGGGGUAACUAAUAUUAUUCAAAUAUAUUCUAAGCACUUAGUACCUAUAUUUAUCUGUGUUCUCCAGAAAAAGUGAACCAAUAAUGUGUUAUAUGGAUAUAGGGAGAGAGAGGGUAAGAGAGGGGCAGGGGAGAGAGAAUGAAGAUGAGUAAGGAACUGGCUCACAUGAUUAUGGACACUGGGAAUUCCCAAGAUCUAUGAUCUGCAGGCUAGAUACCCUGAAGAGUUGAUGAUAUAAUUCUAGAGUAUGAAGGCAGAAAAAGACCAAUGUCUUACUUCUAAGAUGGUCAGAGAGAGAAAAAUUUCCCCUGCUCUACCAUUUGCUCUCAUUAGACAUUCAAUGCAUUAGAUAAGGCCCAUCUACAUUGGGGAGGGCAACUUGCAUUUCUACUUCAAAUGUUAAUCUCAUUCACGAACAUCCUCACAGAUACAUCCAGAGUAAUGUUUAACCAGUUAUCUAGGUGCCUUGUGGCUCAGUCAAGGUGAUACAUAAAAUUGACCAUUACUCAGAGGACAUACAAAGGCUCCUUAAUUAAGGUGUAAGAUCAAGAGCAUGGUCAGAGAAGGAUUUUAUGAGUGCCAGAGGUGAGUCUGAAGAGACAAGUAGGAGGUUUUAAGCAGGUAAAGUUUUAAAGUUUUAAGCAGGGCAGGAAAACUGGGAAGUGUUUUUUAGGGGGGAAAAACAGAGGUCUAAAGGCUUAAGGAUGCACGAGAGUACGGUGUGUUCCAUAAUUGUGGCUGUUACACUGUGACUGGCAUAUAGAACAUGAACAGAGGAAUCAGGUAUAUAAAGAGAGAAAGACUGGUCCAGACCAUGAGCAUGUUGGGUAGCACAUGGAGGCUAUGGGAGCUUUAGAAUAAUUUUGAAUGGGACAGUGAAUGGAAAGUGAAAGGCAGGUAGGGUGAUUGAGGGCAGGGAGGGUGGUGGGGGAAAAUCUUGGUUUAUUUCAAGGGAAAGGUAUCCAGGGGAUGAAUGCAGAGAGCAGCAGCCAUGAUAUAUCUGGGAAUAAGGUAUCAGAAGCUAUAGCCUGUAUUCCAAGUGGAUGACAAGGCUAAUAAGAAAUGGAAUAAAAGGAUGAUCUUUGGGAUCCUGGCUUGUGAAAAUGACUGAUGCCAGUUAAUCACUGUAGGGAAUACAGGAGGAAGAGAAGUUUCCAGGCCGGGGGCCAGUUUGGGGGUAGAGUGUGAAAAUUUCAUAUAGUCAGUACAUAUAUACAGCUUCAAAGUUUACUAAGUGUAGAAUAAUAGAGCCUUGAAUUUUGGCAUUUCUUUAAGGUUUCCUAGGUUUAUGACAUCGGUAAAAUUACUAGGUCAAUAAAGUAUGUAUAAAUGUACAGACUUGUUGAUGAAACAAACUUUUAUUUAGCUACCAAUCCCAUAAAUGGCCAGACAAUUAACAAUGAUAAAGUUUGUUUCAGUAACAAAGCCUUCCAAAGACAGGGAAAUUUGGAUGCCUUUCAACCAAAUAAAUUCCUUUCUUCUCAGAUGUCAUGUAAACUGAUGUCAUUUUCAUUCCAUCAAGCAAAAAAAAAGAAAAAAAGAAAGAAAGGACAAGAAAUGAAAGAAAGAUGAAACUUGCUCUGGUUUGCAGUAUUCCAGUGAUGGCAUGCUUCCUCAAAGUCAUCUAAAAAAAGACAUUGUGAGCAAACUAGUGUUUCCCCUGCCAGAAAUGCAUGCCUGGCCACAAUGCAAGCCUUUCAUAUUUGGCCAUUUAGAUAAUGGUUUCUACAUGAACUUUCAUAACAUUUAUUUACUGCUAUAAAUGAUUGGACCAACUGCUGUUGCAAUCCAGAAAUCCAGUUCUCCAGCAGUUAGAUUUCUCACUACAUUAUCUCAGCUUGAUAAAGGUCGUCCUGAAAGUAAUGUUUCCUGUCAAUACUUCAGGGGCAGUGUGAAAUGCCCUGGGCAUGUGUGUUUUGAAUGUUUACAGUUCUGCCUGCUUGCGAAGCACAUUAGCCUCACUCCGUGAAGACCAUGUUCCAGUUAUAAAUAUCUCAACUCCCCAGUCCCAAUUUUUUAGGGUGUAUCAACCACAUUUUCCUUCCCCUCCCAUCUGGCUGACUGAUUCACACUCUUCUGUGAAUUGUUGCAGCAGAAAAACAGCCAGGGACUGCCAAAUUCGGGAGACAAGGCUUUUUAUAUGCUUGUCCGGGCAAAAUGGUAAAAUGUGACUUGGGUUGCUCUGUGAAUGAGUGUUCACCAGGGUGGGGGUGUUGAUCAUACGAUGGAAGGAGAUCCCCUCGCUGUGAGAGGUUUCCAUUGGUGUGGCAGAGGUGACUGAUUUAGUGGCUCUGCUAUGCAGAGCUCUGACUUGAACCCUCACCACCCCCUCUUGCUCCCUACAUGCUGAAAGGGGGCUCCCUCAGGUUGAGCUGGUUAAACUGGCUGAACCACAGCCUUAAGGAGAAGUCUAUCCUGGACAUGGGCCUGUGGAUGGCUCUUGCCCUGGCAGGAAUCUGUGCCCACUUGCUUCCCUUCAUUGACUCCAUUGUCAGUGCCACACAUAGCCAGGCAGAAGCAGAGCAUGGCCAGGGGUGGGGCACUUAGUGUCUGACUCUGGCUUGCUCCAGAAACCCAAUUUCCAGAGCCCUCCAAGCUCUUGGCUGACGUCCUACAGUGGACUAGAAUUUUAGACCAACAUUCAGGAGCCUCACCCUUGGUGGCCAGAAAACACAGACUCAGAUGCAACAGAAGAAGAAGGCACUAGAAAGGUAAAAAAAAAAAAAAAAGUGUGUAUCUUACAAUAAGAACUGUGUAUUUUUUCAUAAAAUAAUCUUAUUGCUUGAAGGGGAAAAAUAAAAAAAAUCAAUAAAACAACAGAAGAAAAGAAAACAUUGAGAAAGCAGACAAAUAGCUUAUUGCUAACUUUUGGUGCUCUUCACCCCAAAAGAAAAGUUUGCUGUUCAUAUAAACAGAGAUGCUCACAAUUGCAGAAGGUCUGCAAAUACCACAGGACUCCCCAAGAGCUUCUGUUUGACUCUACAAUUUAAUUUAACCUUUACCUUUAUCUGGGCUUAUUUGGUGAAUGGGGAUAAAGAAAGAAAAUGAGAAAAAUCUCUGUUUUGAAAAGUGACACAGGAGAUUGGUGUGAUUUUCAUGAGAGGCUGAAAGUCUUGUGAUGGAAGUAUGACAGGGACUCUGAGGAAACCAUCUGAUUGACUUUGCAUCCCUGGUUUCUCCCACAGGGCUUGACUUGUGGCACUGGUUUAUAUUUAUUGGAAGUUGUAUUUUGGGUGCAAUCAACAUGAAUUUGAGCCAUUUAAACACACCAAUUCUUUAAGAGAUUUUCAUUUAUUCCUUGUAUUCAUUUCUUCAGUGGGCAAAUAUUUAUCAAAACAUCAACCACAUGAGACCAAAAGUACAUACAUAACGAAUGUCUAUGUGAUUCUAGCCUAAAUUUUGUGUGGAUAAUCCAGAAAGUGAAAAUGAGGUGAUACUGUAUAUGGAGGUUAUUUAGUAUAUUGAAAGAUGAAAAUGUGAAUCAAAAAUUGUUAUUAUUUGUGAUGUUGGUGUUGGAGUCUGUAACAAGUCAAAAUAACAGCUGGCAUUUUGCCAGGGGAAUGUUAGAGUUCUUAAACAAGUCUGGAUGGUGCCUGGCAAAAUGCCAGAGGGAGUGGUUUGAGAAGUAACAAAACUGAGCCAUUAAGUGUGGAGAUUCCUGAUUGGUUGACUGAUGUAUCUAGUUUAUGCUAAUUAGAUAAGCUGUGUGGAAUGUAUAAAUACUGCUCCUGUCCUACAAAAAAACGGCUCCCACUCCUGCUGUAUCAAUCUACGCAAGUUGUUCGUCACCCCCCGGUUAUUUUGCUGCAGCCGGACUGCGGCAGUUGGGAUUCAAAUCCAAGGCCUCAUACAUGCAAGGCAAGUACUCUACCACUGAGCUACAUCCCCAAUUAUUUAUCAUUUAUUUCACAGAAGUUUGCUUCAUUACUCAAAAAUGUUAUAUAGUUCACCUCCCUAGGACAGUGAAGACAUAAUCUUAUUUAAAGCCUAUCAGUUGCAUAGAAUGACUCCAGAACAUUCUAGAAAAUGCCUCCCUUCUUUUGAAUCCCAUGUGGGUGACUUGCAAGGCACUGCUCCUUCUCUCCAACCUCUGAGAUACUUCCUUCAAUUAUGUGAAUACUUCCUUAAGAGUGGCUUGGGUGGAUUCUGUUUUCUUGUCUUAUAUCCACUCAUUUUAAACAUGUGUUAUGAAAUCUUAAGACAAGAAAAUGCAAAGAAUAAUGCAACAAUGUCCCACACACCACCACUCACCUUAACUAUUAAAUAAUUACCAAUAAAACUGAUGCUCCUGCUUAUCCAUCCUAGCGGCAUCUCACUUCCUCCUAAUACCCAAUGACACAACCACUAUCUUAAAUCCAGAUUUGAUAAUUAUCAUUUCCCUAUCAUUCUUUGUAGUGAUACUAAAUAUCUAUGCAUGACUAAAUCAUUAUUUCAUACUUAUUUUUCUAUGUUUUCAUACUUGAUUAUAUUCUAUAGUACAUAUUCUAUAACUUGUUACAUCAACAUUGUUUAUUCAUUAUUAUGUUGGUGAAAUUCAACCAUGAUGAUAGUGUUGCACUAUAUGAAAUUUCACAACUUACUUAUACAUUCAAUUGAGAGGCAUUUAGUGUUUUAGCUAGGUAUAAAAUUAUAAAUUGAAUUUAUUUCUCAUGGCCUUUGAGAAAUCUGCAAUUGUUCUAAUUUUAAUUUCUUUGUGAUUGUCAUUCUUUUAUAUUUUUGAAGGUGCUUUUUCUGUCUAUUUUCAGGAGUAUACAUUUGUCUUUGGUGAUCUGCAGAUCACCAUGGUAGAGAUAUAUUUGUCAUAAUAUGUUUAGUCAUGAAUAAAAAUAUUGUUGGCGGGCAUUUGCUUCCUGAAUCUGAGGAUUCAUGGUUUUUAUCAAGGACAUAUUUUUGGUCAUUGUGUUUAAAAAUAUUGUCCCUCUGGAGCUCCAAGUAGACGUAUAUUAAGUUUCAUUUUAUUUUCCUUUCCUGUUGAAACUUUUUUAUAUUCUUCAUUUCAUUGGCUCUAUUCUUUAUGUUCCAUAAAAUUAAACAAAUUCUUUCUUCUAGUUUAUUACUUCUACCUUCCACAUUCAUUCCAAUUUGCUUUUAAAUCACUAUUAAUUUUGAUUUCAAUAAUAGCUUUUUUCACUAUAUUUCAAUGAUUAUAUUUUAGUUUCUGGAAGUCCAAUUUGGCUCUCUUUUAAGACUGGAUUUUUUUAAAUGUCUUGUUGUUUCUCAAAAAUGCCAAUAUAUGACAUCCUAGAGAGUAUACUCUUGUGUUUUAUUUCUACACACUCUCUUUUGGUGGUCUGUUUCUGUAAGUAUAAUUUUGAGUUGAGAACUUACAUUUUGAUUGCUGAAAGUCUGGCUGGGCAUUUGUUACUUUUACAUUUGCUUCUGCCAUGCACUUUGGCCCACUACCAAAUUAGGAUAGCAUUCAGUUAGUACUUUGGCUGUAACUUUCCAAACACUGGGGUUUGUAUAAAUUUGAGUCUUAAACUCAUGGAAUAGCCCUGUAUUUAAAAAUGCUCGGUGGGUAGGCAGGUGUAACAGAUUUAGAAAAUAAAGUGGGGAGGUGCCCAGUUAAAUUUGACUUUCACAUAAACAACACAUGAAUUGGGAUUUCAUAUUAAGUUUGUCCCAUGAAGCAUUUGUCCCAGAUUUUAUCUGCCUACUGAUGGCUGGUGGAUGGAGAGGCUUUAUUUUUAUAACCAGAGGGGAAGCUGAUACAGAUAAAUCUCUGUAUUAUCUUUCAUCGUAGGUGAAUAGACAUCUCACCCCACUUCCAACCCACCAUUUCAUGAAGCACCUAGUUUUCAAAGGCCUUGGGUUUUGUGGGCAUUAGUUCCAGCAAUCCUCCAGGUAAAGCCCUUGUGUCCUAUUCCCCAGAGACUCUAUGUUCUUGGGAUGGGAAAAUUCCAUCAAUAGUUAAAGAUCCAGCAUUUGUUUUCCUCUAUGUUUAGUUCUUUCUUUUUAAUUAAUUUGGUUGGUUGGUUGGUUCUUUUAGCUCCUAGGAUUUUCCCCUUUCUUUCAAGUGAGAUAUGCAUUAAGAAGGGUGUUUGUUGAAUUUUAGCCAUUACGACACUGGAAGCAGAAGUACUUCUAUUCACUCUUUAACCAAGUUAGCCAAUUCCCUGAUCUUAUCACUGACCUAAAAUUGCUCUUUGAAAAUUCUGCCAUAGAUGUUUUAUUGCUAAAUUCAAUUGCUGCUUCCUGAAAGUUACCCACUUCAAAAAGCUCCUGUUUCUUGGCCAAAUUGUUUCUUUCACCAACUUCUAUUACUGGAGUUUUUUUCUUAAUGUUCCACUUCUCUGACUGGUUAUUGUUCCUCUUUAAUGGCUGUUUUCCCUAUUACUGCUUCUUGAGUAUGCACAUGGCUCUUGGACCAUUCAUACACAACCAUGCUAGUAUCCCAGUAUCUAAACUCUGCAGUUCAGUGUUUGUAUUGUUUUUUUUUUUUUUUUUUGGAGGGGGGUAUCUUUCUAAAAGAUCAUAUGGCUAUUCUUGCCCUUGAAAACUUUCAAUAACUUUUGAUUUUCAAAAUAUAUAACCUUAGCAUUAAAAUCCUCCCGUAAUAUGAGUCUACCAGCACCCUCAAUUAUCAAACCCUCUACUUUUUACCCUCUGCUCCAGUCACUGUAUACUCUGCAUUUAGGACCAUGAUGCGGUUUUACUGGUUUCUCUCUGCUCAUAAAUCUAGAGUACAUGCUGUUCACUGCCUGUACAGUCUUCCCUCUGUAUCCAUGAGUUCUGUAUUCAUGAAUUCAACCAACACAGGAUCAGUAUUCAGAAGAAAAGAAUUGCACUGUACUAAACAUGCUAAAUUUCUUCUUGUCCUUUUUCAGUGAUACAGUAAAACUAUGUAACAUUUAAACUAUAUUAGCUAUCCCAAUAAUCUAGUUGAUUUGAAGGAUAUGAGAUGAUUGUGCAGAUUACUGUGCCACUUUAUGUAAGGGAUUUUAGCAUCGGCAAAUUUUGGUAUAUACGGGGGUCCUAGAAACAAUCCUGGAAGACACUGAAGGAUGACUCUAUAUUGAAAUCAAACUUUCUUUGAAGUUGGACUCAGAUUUCAAUUUGGUGAAGGUUUGCUCUAUUCCCAUCUCCAAUUGGAUACUCACUUAGCACUUAAUUCAUGCUUUCCCUGCAAAUGUCACAUGCGUUGCACUUAUCAUAAUUAUUUGUGUGGAUUUGUGUCUCUGUAUGUGUGUGUGUGUGUGUGUGUGUUAUUGUAAAUUCUUAGGUACACACUCUCUUUUUUGUCUCAUUACCUUAACUUGGAGCUCAAUACUGUACAUUUGAUAGCCUCCCAUAAAUUUGUUGUAAUUUAAUUAAGCUGCUUAUCUUCAGUGGUUAUGAGGACAUAUUAGACAGGACUUAACACAAUCAUACUAGGUUUUUAUUUUAGAAGUGAAAAUCACUGUGGAAACAUUGCUAAAGCUGCCUUUUCAAUUUGGAAGAGUAUUUCCCUUAAUCUCCUGUGUUAUCAAAGAUCCAUUUUCACCUUGGGUCUGGCAGUUUGGUGGUUAUCCGACUAGGGAUUCUUAUAACUUCAUGAAAAAGUACCCCCAGAAAACACUCAGUAACCUCUAUGGCCUUUGAAAUAUGUUUAUUAAUUUUCCCCAAAUCCCCCCUUUCUUCUUUCUCUACUUUAAAAUUAUCACACAGCAUAAACUAAAAUAGAGGUAGGCAGCUUAUGUGUUCUAACAGAUUGGACUGUAGUUUGUAAGUAUUUGUAACAUCUGUGAAUCUCUCCUUCCUUUUUCUCUGUCUACAGACAGUUGCCAAGUUUAGAAAAUAAAAAUGAAAGACAUCCAGAUAAAUUACUAUUUCAGGUAAAAAAUGAAUAAUUUUUACUGUACAUUCUAAUAUCGCAUGGGACAUAAUUACAUUAAAAAAGAUCACUGUUUAUCUGAAAUUCAAAUUUAACUCCUCUAUAUUUUAUCUGGUAACCUGAUGUCUGUACCAGUUCCAGCUUCUUGUUCCUUAUCACCAUAAUCAUUUAAAAAGUACACAAAGGGUUUCUGCAUUCAGAAAUGAGGAGUCUAUAAAACCGAUUUUCCUUGGAAAACAAUCAAAGAAAGAUUCCUUAGCUUGCAAAUCUUAAGUGUUGAGAAGGAUGUGACAGAGCAGCAGGGUAAUUAGUUCUAAGGUGGGUGAUGAAAAAUUAGUUCUGUAGCAAAACACUGGUCUCAGCUGUGGCAGUUCAAGGGCGUAGAGUACUUCUGGUAAUUUUUCCAGUACAGCUAACAUACUGUGGCAGGCACAUCUGAGUGACACAACAUUCUGGAACUAAGUAAAAAUGCCUGGGAGAAAACCUGAGUGUGUAUGUGUUGAGUUAAACAGCCCUUUGUUAUGAGGGCGUGGAAAGGGGGCCAGAAUAUUGUGCUGAAAUGGAAACUAAUUGAUGGACAGUAUAAUCACCACCUUAGUUAGCGCCCGGGGACUCUUUUCAUACCAGCAAGCUGUAAAUUUAAAUGGAAACCAAAAGGAUAGUACACCGCCCACAGCUCCACGUUCCAUUACUUCAUGUAGGAAAUAUUCAGCGAGUAAGAGAGAGGCUUACCAGAUAAUAGCUGCAGAGGAGCUGCAUGGUGAUUAAGGUAAGACCGAAGUGGCUGGUAAAAAAUUCUCAAUUUAACAGUGGACAGAUAAGAUUGCCUAUUUGAAGGAUUAAACUCUAUUCUUUGCUCAGAAUGAUUCAGUUCAGUUCUGUGUGUUGAACAGCACAGUGAUCUCUUAUCUUAGACUAGCCCUGGACAAGUGUAGUCUUUUAGAGAUUAUGUGAUUUGGAGAAAGAUGGAUCUAUUCAUGAGUCCAAUCCAUCAUGGUGAAUUUAUCUUUUAAAUGCUUGCUCUUUGGUAUCUUGUAAGUACAUGAGUUUUAUAAUCAGUGGGUUCAAAUCCCACUCGACUCUGCCCCUUGAGCCAUGAUAGAAAUUAUGAGCCUCCAUUUAUUUGUACAGAAAUGAAGCAGAUGCUAUCUAUUUCUCAGGGUUGGGAGUAUAGAUUAACUGGGCUUAUUAGAUGCAAAAUGCUUGGGGUUUAUUAAUUGCUUCAUGGAAGGCUGCUUUACCCCCUUCUUAUCUGUGUGAUUUCUUACCUUCAGCUCUUUGCUUGAGGUCUGAUGCGAGGGAUUCUGCAUGUCUUUUUAGAGUCAAACACUUCCUGCCCAUAUUCCUUGAAUCUUUUGAGACCCUUGCACACUACAGAUGGGGAGGCAUGUUUGCCCUAGGCUUGAAGUAGCAGAGGGCUUCCCUCUUCCAUGCCUACUCCAGUCAGCCGGCACUACCACCUGAAUUAACGUGUUGAGAAAGGCCGUGAGGCUGCUUAGGGUUUGGUGACAGAGCUCCCUGGGUGGUUGACAAGGACUGCUGUCUCCACAGCAAGGGCUUGCUCAUAUCUGUGCUAUGUGUUGUGUGACUUUCUCCUUGGUCAGGUUGUGAAGGAGACAGUUUGUCUUCAGGACUUUGUUUAUCCUAUCCUUUCCAUCACUUUUGGUGCCAUCUUCCCCAAGUCCACUAGUCUGAAUCUACUGGCCGUGUCACAGAGAAAAUGAAGGGCACACUCAUUCAUUUCUGUUAGGACCUGGGGGCUUAAUAAUCAUCUCCUUCUGAGAAGUAUUUUGAAGAAAGGUACAGAUGCAAUGAACCAGCUGUUUCUACCAGGGUCCAUAAGCAUCCCUAUGCAGGAGGAUUACAGGGGGAAAGAAGAUGCUUCUCAAAACCAGAUCUUAAGCCCUUACCUCCCAAAACAGACAGAUUCAAGGAAUCUGUAGGUGUGUGUGUGUGUGUGUGUGUGUUGUGUGUAUAAUAUAUAUAUAUAUAUAUAAAGAUGAAGAUUCUUUAAAGUCCCACUGCAUUCAGGUGCUUAUGUGAAUGAAUGAUUUCAUAGUUUCUGGAACGGCCAAACAAGGCCAAAUACAUUCCUUACUUUUGGUCAUUGCCUGGCUUCCCCUCAUUAUUGUUCCAAGUCCUUAACUUAGACUUCUAUUAAGAAAUAAGUUUUCCUGAAAGAACCUAAGGGUGAUAACAUGGAUGAGAAAAUUUGAAAAGUGAUUAAAGAAAUGAGAAAGAAAAACAAUAUCAUGAUGAGUAUAAAACAUACAUUCCAGAAGGUGGGCAGUCUUUGAAGGAGAAGGAGUAAGACCAAAGACUAAUGGAUACUUUCACCCAUCAGAUAUUUAGACAUUAUGCUGAAUGAUAAUUUUUUAACAUAGCAACAUUUUCCCCUGAUUAUCAUCAUAGAGAUUUUGCAAAAAUGUGGCGAACAUUAAGGAAAUACAAUAUCUAAUAAUUCCACAUUAACAAUUGAACAAUUGACCCCAGUUACUUACAAUUUUGGCACAUUUACUUCUAGUCUUACUUUCUUCUGUAUUGACACUUACAAAUUUGCACCUAAACUAUUAAUGCUGGCAACCCUUGGAUUUUUUUUUUAAUUUACUCAAGGAUGCAAAGUGAGGUGGCCUUGUUUUUUCUCAAUUAUAUUAACUUGAGUCCUCAACAUUGCACUUAUUAGAAAGUGUCCCUCAGCCACUUCUGAGAGUUUUCAGAGCCUUAUCCUUAUCAAUGCUUUUCCUCCCUUUCACGCAACUGGCUGCAUCUGCUGCUGCUGUUGCUGCCUGUGUGUCAAAAUUGAUGGUUCCUCCUUUGCGGAUCACUACUGAGAGUACUGCAGCAGUUUGGGAAACAGGAUGCUGCUCAUCCCAUGUCUUUUUCCUCCAAUUCUUGAAGUAGACCUUCCAUAAUUUUCCAAUGCACACCUGGGACCAGGCUAUAGCUUUUCCAGAAAAAAAAAAUUACUGAAGUUUAGGGAAUACAGAAGCAAAAUAUAAUACAUAAUUUAACUUACAAUUGCUUCUACAAGUUCCCAUUCUUCAAGUUCCAGUGGUCUGAGCCUCAAAGAAAAUGAGAAUCCCCUCCACCAGGGCAUAAGAGUUACCCACUUUGGUUUUCAUUGAUUGCCUCUUUGUUAACCCCUUUCCAGAAUGAAUGGCGGUAUGAGUCUCUACUCCCUUCAGAGAUUGAAACACCCCCAAUCCAACCCACAGAGGUUGGUCCACCAGGUCAUGGGGAUAAAUAAUUCAGUCUUACUGGUCUUGGGGAACAUCUCCUAAAGUCUAAGUUGUUGCUGCUUCAAGUACAACAUGGAUCUUGACCUCCAUAUCUUCAAAGUCACAAGAGAAGAUCAGGCCUCUUCAACCAAACUGCAUAUUUUGCAAAGAAUUGUUGCCUGAACAUCACAUCUCUUUAUGAUCAAGUAAUGAUUUGAAUGUAUAAGGCCAUGUAAGUCCAGGCUUGGCAAAGAAACAUUGUCUAAAGAAAGCAGUUUUGGGGGUUAUCAAAUACAGCUGUUUGACAUUUAUUAAACAAAACAUCUUUGUCAGACUCUUACGCUUGUAGGUUGCUUCAAUACAUUUAUGUAUUGAUUCUUGUUUUACAUUGUAUGACUUGAAGGAACCACACAUAAACCAGGAAAAGUUUUUCCAAACAUAAAGCAAGAUACCACAUGCAAAUUUUCAAACAGUAGUUUUAAAAAUAAGUCUUCAGGUCAAAUUUCCACUUGUUAUAUGGCAUACACAUUUGCAUAAUUGAAAGUCAAACUUUACAUAUAAUUCUGUUAUUUGCAUUCUGUAACUUAAUUUUUCAUUGCACAUAUUUUCCAGUAAUCAUUAUUUUGAAAACAUAGUUUUUAAAUGAUUUUGUGAUCUUCAAAUCUAUAGUUAAUAUAACUAACUAUUAAUUUGGGAUACUUAUG
rnacentral:lncRNA from 1 species